rnacentral:snoRNA from 1 species
UGAUCCAAUGAUGGUAGCACGUCAUGAACCACGAAUUCGGAUUAAUCUAAUUCCGUGCAUCUGAGGUCCUU